AGUAUUUUUGACUAGAAGAGAUACAGCUUUUGUCAAAAUUGACCUUACCGGCAGGUUUAGAACUUACUCAACAGGUUAGGAGAAUUGUCGUAGCAGUUUAGGAGAAUUAGGUUAAGGUUAGGAAAAGUGUAAGGGUUAGCAAAAGUGAAGUUUUGUUUUUGUUGCCAAAAGCUGUGUCCCAUCUACACCUGACCUCCUCUUAUCCUCUCACAUAAGCGAACAAGUCCCCAUCUUUCACAUAGUUUAUUAUAGACAUACUGUACAUGGCACUUUAAUUCAAAUAUACACUCACUGGCCAGUUUAUUUGGUACACCCAUCUAGUACCGGGUCGUACUCCCUUCGCCUCCAGAACAGACUGAAUUCUUUGGGGCAUGGAUUCUACAAGGUGUCGGAAAAGUUAUUUUCUCAAUUGGUAUCUAGGGACCUAAGGUGUGCCAGGAAACAUUCCCCACACCAGUACACCACCGCCACCAGCCUGUACCGUUGACACCAGGCAGGAUGGGUCCAUGGACUCAUGCUGCAUACACCAAAUUCUGACUCUGCCAUCAGCUUGAUGCAACAGGAACCGGGAUUUGUCAGACCAGGCGAUGUUGUUCCAUUCCUAAAUUGUCCAGUGUUGGUGAUGGUGUGCCUGCUGGAGCUGCUUCCUGUUGGUUUUAGCUAGGAGUGGAACCCAGGGUGGUCGUCUGCUGCAACAGCCCAUCAGUGACAAGGACCGACAAGUUGUGUGUCUGAGAUGAUGUUCUGCACACCACUGUAGUACUGCUCCGCUAUGUGUCUGUUUGUGGCCUGCCUGUUACCUUGCACCAUACUUGCCCCUCUCCUUUGACCUCUCUCAUCAACGAGCUGUUUUCGCCCGCGGUACUGCCACUGACUGGACGUGUUUUGUUUGUCGCACCAAUCUCGGUAAACCCAAGACUGUCUGGUGUGAAGCCCAGGAGGGCAGACGUUUCUGAGAUACUGGAUCUGGCCUACCUGGCACCAGCAAUCAUACCACGCUCAACGUCGCUUAGGUCACUCGUUUUGCCCAUUCUAACUUUCAAUGGAACAGUAACUGAAUGCCUGUCUGCCUGCUUUAUAUAGCAAGCCACAGCCACGUUACUCACUGUCUGUAGGAGCGAUCAAUUUUGGUGAAUGAGGUGAUGUACCUAAUAAACUGUCCAGUUACUGUAUAUAUUAGAAUUAUGUUUCUGCAUUUCCCUACUAUAACCACUAGGGGGCUUUGAGUCUCGACCUCCCUCCUCCAUUGACUUUAUGGACAGAUCUAAAAGAGCCCCAAUAAUAUCUACUUUCUCCUGCAAAUGUGCACUCGUUCACUACUUCCCACUAAUCUAAUAGUAUUGGGUUGGUGGAGGAAUGGGCUAGUUUCCACCGUGUUUCUUAUACCAGUCAUUUCCUUUCAAACCAGUGAAGGGAAGUGAACAAGGGCACACUUUGGGAGGAAGGUGAGGUCAUGGGGACGUAGACCAAGUGAAGACCUCUGUAUUGUGUGAAGACUGGAGUCAGUGGAUUCAGCAUUAAGGAUAUAUCUAUAGUCACGACUACCAGUGGGCUAUAUUUAGAUUAACGUCUAGCAUUCUGAAAUGGGAAUUAAAUUCACCAGAAAUGCUUUCAUGCAAUGCUAUUUAAAACAAUAACUGCCUUUUCCAUCUUUGAGAUAGUGACUGGGCUUGUGUUCACGUAUUUCUCCGCCUGUAUGUAGACAUUGAGGAAUAUGAGUAUUUUGACUUGAAAUGUUCAACUUAACCCAUUGGAGUUGACUGUGUGUGGAUGUGACUGACUGAAUGAGGAAGAGAGAAAUAAAUCAAAAAGGAGUGUAAAGCACUAGAACACUGAGUGCAAAGCGCUAGAACACUGAUGAGUGCAAAGCGCUAGGACACCAUAUAGAGAAUAAUGUGCCAUUUGGGACAGAACUUCUGAGGAUGGUAGGAGGGUGUGCUACACCUCCAGUCUACCAGACUUGAGAUUUAUGGGGUUUAGUUCAGAUGACACCAUAUCCCCUUUAUAGUGUACUACUUUUGAUCACGGCUCAUGGAUCUGGUCAAAAGUAGCGCACUAUAUAGGUAAUACGGUGCCAUUUGGGACAGAACCUUCUGACCACGCACCACUUUCUAGCACUUAUAGUCAUUUACAGUUAUGUGUGGUGACUAAUCAUUUAAAUAGUAACUUACAUACAUGUAGUUACUUAUCCUAUGGUAACUAAUCAUUUAAAUAGUAACUUAUACACAUGUGGUUACUUAUCCUAUGGUAACUAAUCAUUUAAAUAGUAACUUAUACACAUGUGGUAACUAUUCAUUUAAAUAGUAACUUAUACACAUGUGGUAACUAUUCAUUUAAAUAGUAACUUAUACACAUGUGGUUACUUAUCCUAUGGUAACUUUUAGCAACAUUUACUACGUACACACGGCCUUCGAAUCAGCCGCCAUGAGUCAAACGCACAAAUACAAAGUCCUGCUGGACCCUUCAUUUCUAAGCCAUAUUAUCACAGAGAAGAACACGUGUGAGUAGGACUACUCUUAUCCUAGAUCAACUCAUUCUAUCUGUAAAGGAGUAGAGUUUCAGCCAAGUGUUCUGGAACUGACCUGAUAAGUCAAGAUUUUAAUAUAUAGGUUCCUUCAUUAUUAUGGUUGAAAAAUUCUGGGAACUUUUCAAAAUUCUCAGUUUAUCCAGGAAUGUUCUUGAAAUCAGUGGGGGGGGGGGGCAGGGCAUCCUGAAUCCCCAACAAUGACCUUUUGGAAAACAAUGACCAGUUGGAAAACUUGGCAUUUUGGGGAAGUUAGGGUAAUUUUGGAUCCUUGUAAUAGAUUACUUGGCAGGAUAUCCCCCUCAUAUAGACUAACCAACUGCCACCCAGAACGGCACCCUAUAGAACCUAUAGGUAGAAACUGCCACCCAGAACGGCACCCUAUAGAACCUAUAGGUAGAAACUGCCACCCAGAAUGGCACCCUAUAGAACCUAUAGGUAGAAACUGCCACCCAGAACGGCACCCUAUAGAACCUAUAGGUAGAAACUGCCACCCAGAACGGCACCCUAUAGAACCUAUAGGUAGAAACUGCCACCCAGAACGGCACCCUAUAGAACCUAUAGGUAGAAACUGCCACCCAGAACGGCACCCUAUAGAACCUAUAGGUAGAAACUGCCACCCAGAAUGGCACCCUAUAGAACCUAUAGGUAGAAACUGCCACCCAGAACGGCACCCUAUAGAACCUAUAGGUAGAAACUGCCACCCAGAACGGCACCCUAUAGAACCUAUAGGUAGAAACUGCCACCCAGAAUGGCACCCUAUAGAACCUAUAGGUAGAAACUGCCACCCAGAAUGGCACCCUAUAGAACCUAUAGGUAGAAACUGCCACCCAGAACGGCACCCUAUAGAACCUAUAGGUAGAAACUGCCACCCAGAACGGCACCCUAUAGAACCUAUAGGUAGAAACAACAUACUACAACAUACUGAAUACACAAGUAGCGAACAACAUUUACAUUACGUUUUGAAUAUGUUAACUUAAAGGGGAAGUUCACUAUUUUACAACUUUGUCAGAUGGUUUCUCAUCCUGGAAGUAGUCUAUGGGCCAGAAGAAACCUAUCAAUGCUUCAGGGCUUUUUAAAACAGCCACUACAAACGUUAGCCAACUUUAGCCACCGCUAGCUACUAAAAUACUGAAAGUCCCCUUUAAAGGAGUUGCUGAGAGAAAAGAGAACUGAAUGUAGGAGUGUUUCCUGCCGUAUGCCAUGUUUGGGAGUGGAAACCAAAGACUGAAAGAAUGGGGAUGGGUGAAUUUGAUAUGAGGAAAAGCUAGAGAAGAGGAUUGAUCUGUAUUGAAAGAGAAACUUCUUCCUGUAUUACUUUGUGAAUUGUAAAUAAAUAGUGGCUAACGGGCAGCGCCACGCAGAAGCAGGGUCUUCUCUUGGGACUGCUGCCCCCACGUGCUGGAGACAAAUUAUCCAUUA